UACGGGGGGGCAAGCGUUGUUCGGAAUUACUGGGCGUAAAGGGCUCGUAGGCGGCCAACUAAGUCAGACGUGAAAUCCCUCGGCUUAACCGGGGAACUGCGUCUGAUACUGGAUGGCUAGAGGUUGGGAGAGGGAUGCGGAAUUCUAGGUGUAGCGGUGAAAUGCGUAGAUAUCUGGAGGAACACCGGUGGCGAAGGCGGCAUCCUGGACCAAUUCUGACGCUGAGGAGCGAAAGCCAGGGGAGCAAACGGG
rnacentral:rRNA from 1 species